rnacentral:misc_RNA from 1 species
GCACAAGUGUGAGCUUGACAGAGGACUGCAACCUCUUUCUAACACUUAUUUGGCCUUAUGAAAAACUUCUAUACUAUACAGCAGAGACACAUAUAUGGUAUAAUAGGUAAAUGGGGAUGCCCGACAGAUGAGGAUGAAAAUCCAGACGAACCACCUGAUCAAUUAGAGAUAUAGACACAAAGAUGGCUGAUCAGGUCAGGACUAUGAGAGAAAGAGUAGAUGAAUGCUGUACUAAAUGUGCUGAGCCAAAUGUCUGUAUUAGCCACUUGCUUCUCCGCCUUGUUGCUAUCGUAACUCCACAUAAAUGAUCACCCUGUUUGAGAAAGCCGCUGCCAGUUCAUUAGCUGGUGAGAUUGUGGAUGCCUUUGCAAGUAAGAUGAACUGGUCCCAAUACCAUUAUCAUCACCAACAUAUUGGUCCGAAUAGUUACUACUUGAGGGAGACCAUGUAGGCACUACACCCCCAUCCCUUUCUCUAGUACUACUGGAAGAUUCUGCUGUUGAAUCUUCAGAAUUCCUCCUACCUACCGCAAAAUUAAAAUGUGGGGUAGCAUUGGUUCGAGCAGUUUGCAUGACGGCUUGGUCACGCGUGUCUCUCCUAUGAACUUCAGCUACAUUGAUGUCUGUUGGAACUUCUGCCCUACUUUCCACAACUGAAUUCCUAAUGUCCACGGAGUUCUCUUCAUCUUCAGCUCUGAACAAAGAUGACGUCAUGCUUGGCACCAUUUGAUCUUCAUAGCGUCGAACAGUAACUAUUACAGGGUUGUUCCUGACUGGUUCAUGGUCCAUUUCCAUAUGCAUGGCCUGAGGAAAUGCUAUUGGGGAGUCAGCAGAGUCACCAUGUCCUUCUUCCAUACCAUUCUCAAUCGCAGCUCUUGCAGCUGCAUCAUUCUGCCACAUUUGUGAUAGGGCUUGUUCUAGUCUAACUUUUGCUGAAUCAAUUUCAACUAUAGGAAGAGGAUAAUUGGAAGAAGGACAUGGUGACU